AGGAUAAUGUAUGUGAAUAUAUGAAAACGUACAUCACAGAAGAAGAAUCAGAAGACAGUAACGCGACACUGUUUAAUUAUGACUGAUUGGUAAAAGUGGACACGUGGCAUAUUUCACUUGUCUCAAGCACAUGAGACCUACCGUUAGCACUGUUGUACGUACACAGCUAAGGCAACACCAGGUUCGCAGAUGGAUGCAGACUCACUAGUACAGGUUGAAAUACAGAACUCUGUUGUGUAACCUACUGUUUGCUUCUGUAAUGCUGCCCAGUUCAGAAAGUGUAACUAAACUGGGAUUAUAUUACAGGUGAUGAGAUACUAAGUGGUUGCACGGAGACUUCUCAGAUGUUUCUUUGCUGAACACAACCUCUUAAGUGAAGAAGGGAUUUAACUCAAGAUGGUGGCAAGAGGACAGAGAAUAGGUGACAAAAUGUGACAGGAAACAGCAAGGGGCCCAUGAACCCCUGCCCACCUCCAGCACCAGCCAAGGGACACGUCUUCCCGCUCCGCGUGACUUUCAAAUAGCUGAACUAUCAGUUUUCCACAAAGCCUGAGCCAGAACUGAUUAAUGGACAACGACGGCCGUUACCAGAAGAAAUGCAGUUUAUCAGCCUUACUGUGCCUGAGGAGCAGCAGCCAGUCAGUUCAGUGCCAAACGUUCCUUCCACAUUCUGGCACAGCCCCGUAACUAUUCCAGCCUUCUUCUUAACGGGAAACAGAUGCGCUACAUCGGUCCCUUUCUCUCAGUGACACUCUUGAUCAUUCACAAACUAAACUUUAAUUAAUUUUGUAGUUUCUGUUAAAAACAAAUGAGAGGAAACGGAUGAAGAGAUGGUAUUUUUUGUUCCUAUUCCCCUCACGCAGCCAGAAGGUCUUUAAGGGAGCUGGAAUCUGCCAAGCAGCAGCAAUACAGAGUAAGCAAUUUUGCUGAUGAACCACGUCUAAUUUAAUAAACAAACUGUGCACACACAGCCCUUUCUAUACAGUGCAGAAUGUCAUUUUAUUUCUGUGAGAAGUUCAGAGUUCUGCUAAGGGAACACUUAUUAAAAUACAGAACCAACAAG